rnacentral:lncRNA from 1 species
GGCUCCUCCUAGCUGGGGCUUGGGGAGGAAAGGAGAUUGCAGUGCAAACAUCCAGACCACGGGGUGGAAGUUCACAGCACAGGAGCUCUGUCCCCUGAGGAGGUGUUCAGGUGAGGGGAGGGUCGGUGCUAGGUGCUGACCAGUCACACCUCUCCCUCCCAAGUCUCUGCUGUCAGAGAAAGUGACUUGAGUUUGCUUUUAACUGGAUCCGGGAGGGAUCAAAUGUGACUCACAUCUGUACACAAGAAAAUGAAGGCUGGAGACUCCAUGGCGGAGUGCAGGCCCCAAUGCAGUCUCUGGGGUCUCCCAGCACACACCUCUCCGUUUUCCUCUCUGAAAAGUGAACAUGGCCGUAGCAACUUCCCAAGGACGCAGACAGAAUGAGGCCACUGUGGAGCUUCUGGGUAUGCAUGUCCAUACAGAGGAACCUAUUCUAACCUUGACAAUUCAUCCCUGGGUGGGCUUUAGAAGCAUCCCAGGAAGCAUGUGGCAGAAGCCCCAUCUAUGUAAGAAAGGGGAAAAUCACAAAGGUUGUAACACCCCCCCACACACACACACACUGUCUAUCUGCGAGUCCUUCAAACCUCAGUGUUCCGGACCAUCCAGGGGAGGUAUUCACAGCCGCCUUGCAGGGAGGCUGUUUCAGUGAGAGGGCUUGUGCAGAGUCCCUUCCAGGCAGUGCUUAGCAAUCGCUAUGCCAUGGCUUCGGUGGAACCAUGAGGGACCAGAAAAUAAUGGCGCCCAGGGCUCACCUCCUGCUCUCCUGACUGAAUUGCUCCAGCGAUACAAACAUUUCUUCACUGUUGCAGAAGUAACAGCAGCCAAGCCAGGGGUACACAGAAGCCCUGGCAGGCUGCCCCAAUGCUCUCUGACAGACCCCUCCUGCAUGCAGGGGGUUGACUCAGAAUCAGAAAAGCGCCAGAAGUCUCAAGAAGCUUCAGAGGAUGCAGGAAAUGCAGUGUGCCAUGACCAGCCCAAGAAUUGCACCCUCAAACCUGUGCCCACCACAUCUUAAUGAGGUGAACUCCAAAGCCACUUUCUCUGUAAUCUGACAAUGGAGAGGAGUUGAUGCUAAGAAGCCCCGACUCCACCCUGUGGGUUGCCAUGACUACCCAACUUCUUAAAACAAGCAGGAACUACCUCAGCAUCUCCUUAAAAUACAAAAUAAAAUUAUUUCAGUUCUAUAGGCA